GUGCUUGCUUCAGUAGCACAUAUACUAAAAU
rnacentral:snRNA from 1 species